rnacentral:rRNA from 1 species
CUUCGGGUAAUGAGGAUGGCGGACGGGUGAGUAACGCGUAAGGAACUUGCCUCUUGGACUGGGACAACUGUUGGAAACGACAGCUAAUACCGGAUAUUAUGAGAUUCUCGCAUGAGAAACUUAUGAAAGCUAUAUGCGCCAAGAGAGAGCCUUGCGUUCCAUUAGCUAGUUGGUGGGGUAACGGCCCACCAAGGCGACGAUGGAUAGCCGGCCUGAGAGGGUGAACGGCCACAAGGGGACUGAGACACGGCCCUUACUCCUACGGGAGGCAGCAGUGGGGAAUAUUGGACAAUGGGCCACAAGCCUGAUCCAGCAAUUCUGUGUGCACGAUGAAGGUCUUCGGAUUGUAAAGUGCUUUCAGUUGGGAAGAAGAAAGUGACGGUACCAACAGAAGAAGCGACGGCUAAAUACGUGCCAGCAGCCGCGGUAAUACGUAUGUCGCAAGCGUUAUCCGGAUUUAUUGGGCGUAAAGCGCGUCUAGGCGGAAAAAUAAGUCUGAUGUUAAAAUGCGGGGCUCAACUCCGUAUUGCGUUGGAAACUGUUUUUCUAGAGUACUGGAGAGGUGGGCGGAACUACAAGUGUAGAGGUGAAAUUCGUAGAUAUUUGUAGGAAUGCCGAUGGAGAAGUCAGCUCACUGGACAGAUACUGACGCUGAAGCGCGAAAGCGUGGGGAGCAAACAGGAUUAGAUACCCUGGUAGUCCACGCCGUAAACGAUGAUCACU